CUUGUACUCCCUCCGUCCGAAAAUACUUGUCAUUGAAAUGGAUGUAUCUAGAUUUAUUUUAGUUCUAGACACAUCCAUUUUGAUGACAAGUAAUUCCGGACGGAGGGAGUACUUG
rfam:Triticum aestivum genome assembly, contig: Triticum_aestivum_CS42_TGACv1_scaffold_053074_1BS